GAGUUUGAUCAUGGCUCAGAGUGAACGCUGGCGGUAGGCCUAACACAUGCAAGUCGAACGGCAGCACAGAGGAGCUUGCUCCUUGGGUGGCGAGUGGCGGACGGGUGAGGAAUACAUCGGAAUCUACUCUGUCGUGGGGGAUAACGUAGGGAAACUUACGCUAAUACCGCAUACGACCUACGGGUGAAAGCAGGGGAUCUUCGGACCUUGCGCGAUUGAAUGAGCCGAUGUCGGAUUAGCUAGUUGGCGGGUAAAGGCCCACCAAGGCGACGAUCCGUAGCUGGUCUGAGAGGAUGAUCAGCCACACUGGAACUGAGACACGGUCCAGACUCCUACGGGAGGCAGCAGUGGGGAAUAUUGGACAAUGGGCGCAAGCCUGAUCCAGCCAUACCGCGUGGUGAAGAAGGCCUCGG
rnacentral:rRNA from 1 species